UGGGGAAUAUUGCACAAUGGGCGCAAGCCUGAUGCAGCCAUGCCGCGUGUAUGAAGAAGGCCUUCGGGUUGUAAAGUACUUUCAGCGGGGAGGAAGGGAGUAAAGUUAAUAACCUUGGCGAUUGACGUUACCCGCAGAAGAAGCACCGGCUAACUCCGUGCCAGCAGCCGCGGUAAUACGGAGGGUGCAAGCGUUAAUCGGAAUUACUGGGCGUAAAGCGCACGCAGGCGGUCUGUCAAGUCGGAUGUGAAAUCCCCGGGCUCAACCUGGGAACUGCAUUCGAAACUGGCAGGCUAGAGUCUUGUAGAGGGGGGUAGAAUUCCAGGUGUAGCGGUGAAAUGCGUAGAGAUCUGGAGGAAUACCGGUGGCGAAGGCGGCCCCCUGGACAAAGACUGACGCUCAGGUGCGAAAGCGUGGGGAGCAAACAGG
rnacentral:rRNA from 1 species